GCCCUCUAGCAGCACCAUUUUUUCUCCAAAAUUGUCCACUUCUGUUUAAGAAAACCAACACGGUGGCAUCCAAUGCCCAAUGCUUUGAUAAAGCUUUGCAUGAUGUCAAGUUGUACAUCCAUUAUUCUAACUUUUUUACAGUUUUGCUCCAGAUCGGCUGCAGACUCUGAGUGGGCCAACAUUAACUGUUUUUUUUCUUCUGAUGCAAUAGUUGCAUCUGUUAGAAAUAAAAAUAGAUGCCACAUUCAGGAAAAUUCUCUGCUUUGACUGAUUGAAUGUGAUGAUUGUUUCCACUCAUUAUUUUCCCCUUUGGAUUGAACGGCAGCACGGAGGUGAUUUGAUUUAUGUGAUUUUUAAUUCCUUGUCACCAAUGGACGCUCUGUCCCAGUUUUACUUGAAACUUUUUGUUGAUCUGAGACCAGCUUGUUGAUUUUCCAGUUAUCACCCAUUUCUCUUCUUGCAGUCAAUCCACAGACGUCCACGCUACAUUUCACAGCGAUGUCUUAAUAGCUUAAACCAACUGCAACAAACUAUCCAUUUCUCCCUUUGAGGUUGGUCUCAAGACUGAAAUAUGAAGUUGGAGAAUAUUUAGUGAUGGAAACCACCAGAAGUGCUAAAAAUACCUCUGCCAGUCUGCUCGCCACGAGGCUCCAUCACACACUCAUUACCACACGACCUGAGGUUGGGAGGAGAGAGGAGAGAGGAGGGGAUGUGGUCAGGAGUGUGUGUGUGCGUGUGUGUGUGUGUGUGUGUGUGUGCUAAAGUUUCAGCAGUAGAAAGAGAAAGCGGAGAGAAAGUGAGGGAUGUGGUAAAUAAAAAGGGAAAGAGAAGUGGAGAAGGAUUGAAAGGAAAAAGGAGAGAUGGAUGUGAGGUGUGUGUGUGUGUCAGUCUGCACAGAGUCAAGCAUGGUUGUGGUCAGAUACAUUAGUAUUAUAUGAUAUUUCCUAUGGUCUGCUGGCAUGUCUGAAUGACGGCACAUAUUGCAACCUACUGGGCUAUUAUUGAAAUCGUGCAUCACAUCAUUUCUGAAGAAUUUGCAGUUUGUUUGUCUGGACCAAUUUUUUUUUCUAUGAUCCCCUUUCCUUUUCAUCUCUCUUUUCCUCUUAUGUCUGCUCUACUUCCAUCCUUCCAGGCACCCUCCUCUUCUCCUCUUUUUUCUGAUUUAUUCCCCUGUUUCCCUCCAUCCGUCCGUCUGUCUGUCUGCUCUUCUCUGUUCCAGCUGCCGAGUCCCUCCUGAACCAUCAAUCUUUCUCCUCUACCCGUAUCUGGCCCUCGUUCAACACACACAUACACACACAUUAAAACAUACCUUCCCACACAAACACUAGAUAAGCCCUGUGCACACACAAAUGUUCCAUGUAAAAGCAUGAACAAGCACUGAAGUACACACAUAUACACACACUCUCUUCAGGGAGCUGAGGGGCAACCCGAUCCUUCAGUCAGCCUUGGAGUGAAUCACACAGAUGGAACUUCCAGGUUUGGGUCCGUAUCUGAAAUGGAGACUAACAAGGUGAUCUGUGGCUCAGCGGGCUCAAGCCGUAUACUGGCAGGAACGUGUGUUUGAGAUACUCUACUGUCCUAUAGCAGUCUAGCAACCUCACAUGGUGGCGCCUCCAUGACAAAAAUUCCUAUCAGUCUCCUUGCGGUACAAAUGAAGCUAACUUUCCAGUUAAGUCCAGGGUCAAGUUAAACAUGAGCCGGCUUAUUUGUAUUGAUUUACAUCCAACUGAACAUUUCAAUUGAAAGUAACAUGACAGAGGUGGACUGGACUUCUGCAGGUUUAUCUAUGUUGACAUCAGCAAGUUUUAACGUUGCUGCUUUAAUCAGUGCAGUUCAGUUAUUUCAGUUAUGGGUACAAUCUAAGAAUUGUACCCAUCAGCUCUCUAGUCACAUCCUGGAUUGCAGGACAGGAUGUUGCUCCACUUCUUCAUAUUAGAGAUGGCUGGGGGCCAGUAGCCUCUCAGUCUGCUCUCACGUCUGUGCCCACUCAGUACGUUUACAUGACACACAAGAAAACCGAAUUAAUGCCUUACUCCGAUUAAGACCGGACAAUUGAGGUGCAUGUAAACACCUUAGUCCGACUAUAAUCAGAGUUUGAGAACUCCGAUUGGAGUCGGAGAACACCAAUUAAGACAGCCAGAUAAUGUGAUUGGAAUUCGAUUUUCUCUACAAUGUAACCGGCGUAGUUGGAGUAUGAUCGGACAAUGCAUGUGUGCGUGCGCCACACCCCCGUAAUCCCAAAACAAAAACACCAGAGAAGAGGAGUAGCGUGCAUCUCAUCUGCAGAAAAAGUAGCGCGUUCAUCAUGUAUGACAAAAACAAUAUUGUACGAUGCUCCACCUUCUUUCUCCUAAAUGCCCAGCAGCAGUUGUAGCCACUUCUGACAUCUGGCACAGACCUGCUGUUGUUGUAGACAUUUGUUUGGGGUCGGAAACAGCGCCGCUGAAAAGACCCAUAUCACCCCCUAGUUUAGGGGAGGAGGACAUGUUUACGUCACUAAUUCAUAUUUCUCAGCUGCAUGUAUACCCAGACAAGGAGAGAAGUCCAAUUCGGAGAAAAAAAAAGAAGUAUGAGUUCAGUCCGAUUGAGCUGUGUAUGUAAACGCACUGACUGUCACCAUGUCCUGAUUCUAGAGACCGGACUGAGAUGGGGACGAAAGUCUUUGCUAUAGUAAGUACACUUGCUUGUACUAAUAAGUUUGAGCUACAGUCAUAGCUUAGGCCAAUUCUCAAGCACCAGUAGAGAACUGUUUAUUGACAGAAGUAUGACCACUCAUGCUACUCCACAUGGUGAUAUGUCCUCUCCAACAAGCUGCUACUGGGCCGCCUCCCGAACAAAGAUGGCACAACUAUCUUUUUCUCAGCUUUGGUCAACGUUUUGUUUUCUACCUGGCUUCCUUCAACUCACUUCAAUUGUGUCAUGUUUUAAACACAACACCGUGGCUUUUGAGAUCAUGGCACUUCCACCAGUACUCAUCACCACUUCCACCCACCUCUAUCCUUUUUAAGCAGGAGGAAUUUCACAUAAGGGACAUGUAAGAAUAAGCAUCUUUGGAAAUGUUGGGAAAAGCAGAAACCUUGUAUCUUCUUUUUUAAUUCUUUUAUGUUUUAUAAAUCAAUGUCCUCAUUCACUCUUUGCAUCUUAAAAAAAAAAAGGCUCAUGACUGAAUCCAGUGCAGUUUUUGCUUUUGUGAAAACCUCUUUUUUUCUUUCAAGUGUCCUGAAAAGAAGUGGUUUUGUAGAUAUGAAGUUUCAGCCUGACAGCAUUGUAGAUGAAUAUGGAUGUGUAUAAAUGAACCUGGGGCCUGCUGCAGUUUCUAUGAGGUGUGCACUGGGAGUAUCAUUUCGUAGGGGGUUUGAAUUGUUUUAAAUUGUUCUAAAUGAGAAGUU